rnacentral:piRNA from 1 species
GGCCAGGGUGAUGAGUGACACAAAUG